AGUUUUCUGCAGUGGCAGUAUCGUAAUCAAUGAGGUUUAUCUGAGGCAUGAUUAUUGCUAAUUGAAAACUUUUCCCAAUAAGCCACAAUGAAGACUUGAAAUAUAGUUGGUAUUGGCAAUUUUUGACAGUCUCUAUGGAGA
rnacentral:snRNA from 1 species